UUUCCGUAGGUGAACCUGCGGAAGGAUCAUUAUUGAAUAAACCUGAUGUGGCUGUCAGCUGGCUUUUCGAAGCAUGUGCUCGUCCGUCAUCUUUAUCUCUCCACCUGUGCACAUUUUGUAGUCUUGGAUACCUCUCGAGGCAACUCGGAUUUUAGGGUCGCUGUGCUGUACAAGUCGGCUUUCCUUUCAUUUCCAAGACUAUGUCUUUAUAUACACCAAAGUAUGUUUAAAGAAUGUCAUCAAUAGGAACUUGUUUCCUAUAUAAUUAUACAACUUUCAGCAACGGAUCUCUUGGCUCUC
rnacentral:misc_RNA from 1 species